rnacentral:piRNA from 1 species
UAUGGUCCAGGUGAUUCGGCAGAUGC